UACGUAGGUGGCAAGCGUUGUCCGGAUUUACUGGGCGUAAAGAGCGCGCAGGCGGUCGUUCAAGUCGCGUGUGAAAGCCCCCCGGCUCAACUGGGGAGGGUCACGCGAUACUGAUCGACUCGAAGGCAGGAGAGGGAAGUGGAAUUCCCGGUGUAGUGGGUGAAAAUGCGUAGAUAUCGGAGGAACACCAGUGGCGAAGGCGACUUCCUGGCCUGUUCUGACGCUGAGGCGCGAAAGCUAGGGAGCAA
rnacentral:rRNA from 1 species